rfam:Gorilla gorilla gorilla genomic chromosome, chr1, whole genome shotgun sequence
AUAAAGGCUCUUUUCAGAGCCACCCACCAUCUCGAGAAAAGAGCCG